rfam:Pan troglodytes isolate Yerkes chimp pedigree #C0471 (Clint) chromosome 17, whole genome shotgun sequence.
GCUGGGUGCAGUGGUGUGUGCCUGUAGUCCCAGCUACUUGAGAGGCUGAGGCAGGAGGAUCACUUGAGCCCAGGAGUUUGAGGCUGCAGUGAGCUAUGAUUGCACCACUGCACUCCAGCCUGGGUGACAGGGUGAGACCCUAUCUCUA